UCAGGCUUGGCUGAAUUGUUAAGCUGUCCGCUUAGUAAGCGGAAGAUCGUGGGUUCGAUUCCCAACCUUAA
rnacentral:tRNA from 1 species